GGCAAAAAUAAAUAAAUAAAGUGAAACACAAUGUAGGCUACGUACCUCAUAGGACGCCACACGUUCGGAGCUGAACUGAAGCAACUCAACGCUGAGCCUAAGUAUUUAAAACAUCUGCGCAGUUAAGGCUAUUACUGAUCUCAGUUGACUACACCCUACCAAACCGGUCAGAAGACCAAGCUCAAGAAAACAACUGCCUGCCUCACAUAAAAUCCAUUCAAAUUGCCUUGUUCAGCAAUGUUGUUCCCAAUCAGAUGAAUCCCUGAACAGUUUCACAUGUAUGGAUAUUUGGCUUAUUUCCCCUGUAGGAAGUCUUAUUUCCAAAAACAUCUGAUGGAAAGAGGCCACUAACCCAGAGUAUUUGCUUUGUAUGUUUAAUUUGAUUGCUUUUUGAAACAUCUGUUUGAUUUGCUUAGUAUGGUUAGUUGUAUUGCCUCUUGAAACAUGAAACUUUCAAAAACACUCUUGUACAUAUGUCCAUACUAUGACUCAAAUAAACAUAAGAAAAUGUA